rfam:Oryza glaberrima chromosome 2 Oglab02_0030_1, whole genome shotgun sequence.
AAAAAGGCAAACCCUGGGUUUCCGUGUCCAACUUUGACGGUCCAUCUUAUAAUUCGUAUUUUCAUUGUUGUUAGAUGAUAAAACAUGAUUAAUAUUUUAUGCGUGACUUGUCUUUUUAUUUUUUUCAUAAUUUUUUCAAAUAAGACGGACGGUCAAACAUUGGGCACGAAAACCAGGGUUUAUCUUUUU